UACGGGGGGGGCAAGCGUUGUCGGAAUUCCUGGGCGUAAAGGGCUCGUAGGCGGCCAACUAAGUCCGACGUGAAAUCCCCAGGCUUAACCUGGGAACUGCGUCGGAUACUGGAUGGCUUGAAUUCGGGAGAGGGAUGCAGAAUUCCAGGUGUAGCGGUGAAAUGCGUAGAUAUCGUAAGGAAGGCCGGUGGCGAAAGCGAGUCUCUGGACAGUUACUGACGCUGAUGCACGAAGGCCAGGGGAGCAAACGGG
rnacentral:rRNA from 1 species